ensembl:lncRNA
ACUCCAACCUUAAGAACCAAAACACAAUUCAUGUUAAUUGUUAACAUAAUACUUCAGGUUAAUUGUUAACACAAAAUGGGAAAGUGGCAACAAACAUGUAGGAGUCGGAGAACUGGGAGAAUUAAGUCAUAUCUGGGCCUAGAGAGUUAAGUGGAUGGGUAGUCUGGCUUGUGAUUGAAAGAGAACUGGACUAGCCUGGGAUAGAAAUGAGAUGGUGAUGGUGGGAUCUCCUUUACAUAAGAGAAGACUGUUCUUUGCAUAGAGGUGAUUCAGAAAUUGCUCUGUGGCAGGAUGCCUUCUGUCCAUAUGGCCGGUCUUUGCGUGGGUCGUUCUUCAAGGUGCCAUGCCUUGAUUGGGUCAACAUGGCCAGUGCCCGUAUGGUGUUUAAAACCCAGUCCUGGAAAGCCGGCUCCUCUGGAGGUGUUGUGCAAUUGAGGCAGCCGGCAGCCAGCUUCUGAUGUGGUUGGCUGCCUGGCUCACACCUCUCAGGUGCUGCGGAGACGGUGAGAUCCAGUGGCCCCAGGCUACCACGGAGGCGGGCAGGGUGCCACGGCCUUCCCGAGCCGAUCUGUUUUCUUUGUCUUCAGGAGCCCAGUGUGCACGGGCCCUGGCUUUCCGGUUCUUCAGGCUGGCCGGCUGGCAUCACAGCGAAGCUUCAGGCGGGCCCACCUGUGGAAUAUAUUGGGUAAGGCUGGCUCGGCCUGGCUUCUGUCUGUUGAUAAAAGGAACUAUAGAUCCGGGGAUUCUUCUUGAAUGUAGGUGUUUCUAGCUCAGUGUCUCCUAUUAGAUAAAAUAAACAUGUCGCAAACACAAACUCUGUCGAACUACUGUUUUUCUAUUGUUUCCUUGGUUAAUUUGGACAUUUAUGAAUCUCAAAUGCAGUAGGGCAGGAUGGAAGGUUUUUUCUGUCUCAUGCUAAGAUACUCCACUGAACACUUCUCCUAAGACAUAACCCUUGUGGCUGGUGUAGUGGCUCACGCCUCUAAUCCCAGCACUUUUGGAGGCUGAGGUGGGUGGAUCACUUGAACCCAGGAGUUUGAGAUCAACCUGGGCAACACAGCAAAACCCUGUCUCUACAAGAAAUACAAAAACUGGCUAUGCACAGUGGUGUGCACCUGUAGUCCCAGCUACUCAGGAGGCUGAGGUGGGAGGAUCACUUGAGCCUUGGAGGUGGAGGGUACAGUGAGUUGAGAUGGCACCACUGCACUCCAGCUUGAGAGACAGAGUGAGACCCUAUCUAAAACAACAACAACAACAACAACAACAACAAAAAGACAUAGCUCUUGCUUACAGCAUCUGAGGCCUUUGGUCCUAAUUUUUGGUGAUGGAGAAAGAGAGGUUUCAGCUGGUCCCUAGGGUCUGGAGAAGGAGGGUAGUGUGAACCCUAAUGGUGGGGUGAACCCUUCAGGGACACCCCUGCUUCUGUGUGUCCAGUGAUUCUGUCCCCCUUUCUCCAGAUGGCUGUACUAGUUUUCUCUUGAUGCUGUGAGAAAUUACUACAAAGGCCAGACACGGUGGUUCAUGCCUGUAAUCCUAGCACUUUGGGAGUCCGAGGCAGGCGGAUCAUGAGGUCAGGAGAUCAAGACCAGCCUGGCCAACAUGGGGAAACCCCGUCUCUACUAAAAAUACAAAAAUUAGCUGAGUGUGGUGGCACAUGCCUGUAAUCCCAGCUACUCGGGAGGCUGAGGCAGGAGAAUCGCUUGAAGCAGGGAGUUGGAGGUUGCAAUGAGCCAAGAUUGCACCACUGCACUCCAGUCUGGUGACAGAGCGAGACUCUGUCUCAAAAAAUAAAAAUAAAAAAA